rnacentral:rRNA from 1 species
GACGAACGCUGGCGGCGUGCUUAACACAUGCAAGUCGAACGGAAAGGCCCUGCUUUUGUGGGGUGCUCGAGUGGCGAACGGGUGAGUAACACGUGAGUAACCUGCCCUUGACUUUGGGAUAACUUCAGGAAACUGGGGCUAAUACCGGAUAGGAGCUCCUGCUGCAUGGUGGGGGUUGGAAAGUUUCGGCGGUUGGGGAUGGACUCGCGGCUUAUCAGCUUGUUGGUGGGGUAGUGGCUUACCAAGGCUUUGACGGGUAGCCGGCCUGAGAGGGUGACCGGCAACAUGGGGACUGAGUUACGGCCCAGACUCCUACGGGAGGAAGCGGUGGGGAAUAUUGCACAAUGGGCGGAGGCCUGAUGCAGCAACGCCGCGUGCGGGAUGACGGCCUUCGGGUUGUAAACCGCUUUCGCCUGUGACGAAGCGUGGGUGACGGUAAUGGGUAAAGAAGCACGGGCAAACUACGU